GUACAAGAGCAUGGGAUUAGCAACCGUGCAAACAAGAGAGCACAUGGUGAGGAUGAAGGUAAUCAAGGAGAUGAAUAGAACGGGAGUGGAGGCGAUGCGCACAAGGGUCGGCAUGAAGAAUAAUAUCAUCCGAAACCUCCCCAAGAAUGUCCCAUAUUAGUCCUAGACUUUGAUUUCUUGUUGAAUCAGCAGUUUAAGUGAACUUUUAAAUUUAAACAAAAAAGAAAAAAAAUUCUCAGAUAUGGUAUGGUUUUCAGUGUAAGCGCUUAUUAUUAAUUUUAUUAUGACUGUCUGGUCUACAGAUUUGUUAGUAAAACAUUGACAUGCUUCAGUUGUUUCAUGAAAGAAUUUUCAGUUUGUUUCUUCUGGCCAUCCUCCAUUGGCCCUUUCUCUUUACUUGUUAGAAUGAUUCAUUACGAUCGAGACUUUGUAGACCUCUAUUGUCUUGAGGAUGGUUAUGCUAAAUUCUCCUUUAGCUUGGUUUGCCACGGUUGAUGUUGCACGUACACUGGAGCUCCGUUUCUAUUUCUUGGAAACCGGUCAGGCAUUGUUGGAUAUUUACAUUACAUUAUACCUAUGCUUUGCCCAUUUUGAAAUGACAUUUACCGCUCUCUGUCAUUGUCCACGAAUCUUCUUGGUUACGCAAGUGUUCACCUAGUCUUCACAGAACCUUCAUCUUUUCUCAUUCUUUGUUCUCAUCUCUGAGACUCCGACCAUCUCUUCCUCUGCUAUUAUAUUUUUGCUGUAGACACUGUAAAUUUGAAAGGGUAACUUUUAAUUUAUCCCAUAUUCUAUGUAGAAUCACAAUUUUUAAUUUUUCUCUCAAAAGUACAAAAAUAUAAAUUUACCUUGAUUACUGUUUGGAAGAUGAAAAAAUAAUUCAACUUGCCCUUAUUUGCCAUGUUCUGAAUAAAAUAGAUGAUAAACUUAAGAUUGUCAUUAUAUUUAUGGAUUGAAUUGAAGUUUACCCAAAUUGAAAAUUUGUUUUGUUUUUCUAUGUUUUUAGUGUAAUGAGUGUCAUGCAACAGUACAUGAACCACCAGAGCUGCCAUAAAUCUUUGCUAGUUCUUGUAUCUUACUGAAUGUAUUCAUUUUCAUCAUCAUCAAAAAGAUUCUUAAAAGUUAAAAUAUAGCUCAAUGCAGCAUAGAAUCCAAAUUCAACAAAGAAGAUCCCAUUGUUGAAUGAUAAAAUAGUCAGGAGGUUUAAGUUUCACAAAUUUGAAACCCAAAUUCAGUGGCGAAGUCAGGAUUUUAAUUUGGGGAUUAUCAAAAUAUAUUGCAAGUUCGUAUUUAAAGAAGAUUGGGGGUUGUCUUGAAAAAUAAGUUAGGGGACAGUUUAAAAACUUCUUAAUCUUUACCUUAUUUCUUAAAAAAUUUUAAAAGCUUGGUGGUUGCCUUGGCAACCCUAGGCGUGAACAUAGUUCCACCCCUGCCUAAAAUCCUGCAUCAGUCAGUAGUAGUAGGCGGCCUCCAGUGUUCGUAGCCUGUGGUUGAUAGAAAAUAAACCUGGUUGAAGAAAGAGUCAUCUUUUCUUUUGUCACAUUCUUGUACAAUCUUUUCUUAUGUCACGAUAACAUAAAGAGAGAAUGGUAAGAAAUAACCUGAGACUCAGACCAUGAUAAAACUAACUAUUUUAAUAGAAAGUUCUGUCUGUUGACUCUCUCAUGUUGUCACGCAUCUCAUCACUCAGAAAAUUAUUAAUUGCUUAUUUCCCUUUCUUCUUUGGCACUUCAUAUUUCUAAUUUGUUUUGCAACCACAAAAACGAAAUAAAUUGGGAUACCUACAUCUUAUGCGUGCUGACUUUGAAUGAUUCAUAACAAAAGAUGAUCAAGACACCUAUUAUUAUUAAUAAUUUUUCGAAUGUCAUUAAUUUUCCACCAUAUGUCAUUCUCGAUGAAGCUUAUUGGUUAUUCAUUUCCUCUGUGCCUUGGCUGAAACUUCAUGUGCAUUAUUUCAUACAACUUUAGCGGGACAUACUGAUCACCAAGUUGUGAAGAACCCAAGAACAAGUCUUUGGGUAGAAGCAAAAACGCAAUCAAAGUUUAAGUAAUAAAAUGUCAAUGUGAUGUAUAUCUCAUCAAAUUAAUCGGUUGUUAAAUGUAUACCAUCUACAAGUAGUUGACUGAAAAUUUAUUGUUUUAAAUUUCGAAUGUUAGAUUAUAUAAGAUAUAAAAACUAAAUGCCUAAUUAUUCUAGUAUAAUAUAUGCACAUUUCUUUUGACAAUUUGGCAAUUUGUAUUAUAAAGAUAAAAUAGUUAAAUUAAAUUAUGUUAAAUUAACCUCAACGAUCAAAGAUGAUCAACAAACCUAACAAAGGAAUGACUUAAUUGAUUAAUUAUUUAAACUAUCUCUCUAUUAUAAUUUUUUUUAAAAAGAACAAAAUUAUGUAAUUUUGUUUCUCUAUUAGUGACUAACUAAGAAAAUUUAUUUAACUAAACACAUAUACCACAAUUAUAUAAAUUUAAACUCUAUUUGUGUAUCAUAAUAGAUUUCACAGUAAACUCGAUUUAAGAUAACUUCAAUCACAUGACCAAGUCUUAAUUAUGCAUGUUGACUCUGGUAAAAUUAAUGAAGAUGACUUGAUACCAAUAAGCGCGUAGAUCAACUGGCAUGAUUUUUGGUUUGAGACUUAAGAAUGCAGCUGCGUUAAAUACUUGCUGGGAGAGCUUUGCCGCUCUAGUGGUCAUACUCGGCUUGAAUCUGAAUUAGUCAGGGCCCAAUAUAAUUUUCGGAUAUCAAAUGAUUUAAUACACCAAAAAAUAAUGAAGAUGACUUGAUGUAUACAGAUAUCAUAAAAAUUUCCUCCAGUUUCCACUGUAUGUAACUCUCAAAGCGGUUUCUUAAUUGGUUAUUUCAAAUGUCCUUUUAGUCUCCAUUGAACCAUCGUAUCUAUCUUGCUUAUUCUCAUCUCUGGCCAACUUUCCACCUCCAAUUAACAAAAUGUCUGUAAAGUAUUUCGUGCAACUUUUAGAGUUGUGAAGAGGAAGAAGUCGAUCUACAAAUUUUUGGAUAGACGCGGAAGCAAAAAGGCAAUCAAAGUUAGUAUUAUUUCAAAUACAGUUUUCUUUUUCAUUUUUUUUUUCCUUUAACUUCUCGUUUAGCUUUCAUAAAGCUGCUAGACCUGACCUCAGCUGCCACUAAUCUUUGCUUUUGAAUGUUCUUGUAUCUUACAGAAUGUCAGCAAACGGGAUACCAGACAGGCCAUCAGAAAACGGGCUACCAGACGGGCCAUCGGACGGGCCACCACCAUUAUGUACGUCAUUAAAGAUGAGCGCCCCCCCCACCCCCCCUCCCAAAAAAACAAAAAAAAAACCAACCCGGCGACACUCCCCAACGAUUUUAACGAAGUAGAUUUUAGUUUCAUGCAUAUUUCAAGAAUACUUAUGAUGUAUUACAACUAAUUGAUGUAUGCAUGCUAUCCGUAUUUGAAUUUAAUAUAACCACAACUUGCAUGAUGGUUUUUCAAAUUAAAUACACACACGUUAUAACAUUAUUUGAUUAUUAUAUGACUGAUAUGAUACUUCUGAUUUGUUUUAAAAUUUCUAUCAUAUUUGAGGUUGUGCUCAUGCAGACAGAGGGCUGUGAUUAGUGGUAUUUAUGCACACAUGAUAGCAAAAGACAUUUGAAAGCUAAGCACAUAUAUAUCAACACAGGAUCGAAACUCAACAAACAAUAUAUUGUUGAAUGGUGCAAUAAUCGAAUUUUGAUGUUGUACUGAUCUAGGCUGUGCUGAGCAUUUAAAGUUCUUACACCGUGUGUACAACAAUAUGUUAAGCUUAACAUUAAAUGCUGUGCCAAGCAAUUAAAUUUAUUCAAUAACCAUCAAUGACAGCUCCUACAUUAUUUCACUAAUCUGAAACGCUUUUAUUAACUUGCAGUCAUAGCAGCCAUGUCGGUAAUAUUUGGACUUAUAGUAAUUAUAGUAGUAUCUUAUAUCAUCCGAUAUUUUUGGGAAAAGCUAAAUCGUACGGAAACAGAAACCCGAAAUGCUGCAUCUGCUAAUAAGCCUGAAGAGGACGUGGUUGAAGUAAUAUGGGAAGCUGGUCAAACAAUGGAGAGAUUCCUUCAAGAAAUCGGAAGGGAGAAGCCGGUCAGGUUUACUUCUCUCCAGCUCAAUAAGUUUACGAGCAAUUAUUCAACUCGGUUAGGAUUUGGAGGUUUUGGAGAAGUCUAUAAAGGACAAUUUCCUAAUGGUGUGAAAAUUGCAGUGAAGGUUCUUAAUAGGAACCUCGGCAGAAUUGCUGAAGAGCAAUUCAUGGCUGAAGUGGGAACUAUUGGAAGAACUUAUCAUAUAAAUUUGGUUAGGCUUUAUGGUUUUUGCCACGACCAACACAUGACUGCACUUGUUUAUGAGUACAUGGAAAAUGGUUCACUUGAUGGGUAUCUGUUUGGCAAGAAACGAGCAAUAGAAUGGGAGAAGUUGCACGAAAUCGCUAUAGGGACAGCGAAGGGUUUAGUUUACUUGCACGAAGAAUGCCAACAGAGAAUCAUUCAUUACGAUAUAAAGCCCGAAAAUGUUCUCUUAGAUGCAAACUUCUCUCCUAAGGUAGCAGAUUUCGGGCUUGCAAAGCUUUGUGAUAGGAACAAGACUCAUGUUACAAUAAGUGGAUAUAAGGGCACUCCUGGCUACUCUGCACCAGAAUUUUUAUCAGGGAAUUACCCUAUUACACAUAAAUGUGAUGUCUAUAGCUUUGGAAUGGUGUUGUUUGAGAUUGUUGGAAGGAGAAGAAAUGCAAUUGUUGGAGCCUCCGAGAGCCUUGAUUGGUUUCCAAAACAUGUGUGGGAUGAAUAUGAGAAAUGUGAAUUGGGUGCAAUGAUACUGGGAUGUGGGAUUGAAGAGAAAGACAAAGAAAAAGCAAAAAGAUUGUGCAUGGUGGCUUUGUGGUGUGUGCAAGACUCUCCCGAAGAUAGGCCUCCAAUGAGUGCCGUGGUCAAGAUGCUGGAGGGAGUAGUGGAAGUUUUACCGCCACCAAAACCAUUUCGCUAUUUGGACUUAAUCAAGACGACGAGGUUGAAGUCACUUGAAUCUAGUGAUGGUUUAAAUUCCUCUAAUCAGUCUCGCUGGUACAAGGAGACCACUCCAAUAAUGGCCAAGCAUGAUACAGCAUAGCUACUUGCUGAUAACAACUAAGCUUGUGCCUUGUGUUCUCCAUUCCUUGAAUUUUCCAAUACUUGUAUUUUUUUUUUUUUCAUUCAGUUUGUAAGCUAGUGCCUUGUGUUUUUCUUGUAUCCUUAGUUUUGUCUGUCAUUGUAAGUUGUAACUAAACAGUAUCAGAACCAUAAUUAGCAAUGUCUUUGAAAAUGGGAAAAGCAUUAACAAGGCGACUUUUGCUGCUGCAGCAUCUAAGCUCUCAAAAGCCAGGAUCCAGGGUCCUUGAAUUAAUUUCCCGAUUUCUCCAAUCGUCUUGUCCUCAGAAUGCCAGCAAUCCUUCCUCAAAUUUGGAACACGGGGUCACCAUCACAAACUGGCGGGCGCUCUUGGUAACCUCUUACACUUGUUAGAGAAAAGGAGAGCCUAAUUUCGCAGCUGAUUUAAUUUUACAUAAUUUGCAGUUACAAUUCUGGUACUGGUCAUCUUAGCAAUAAUAGGCGCUGUAGCUUACUGUUUGGCAAAACUAGUAAGUUCAAUAAAUGUGAACCUACAGUUCCUGAAGCAUCCUUGAAAACCGUCCAAGAUUUGAAGGAUGGUGAGCAGACAAUGGAGAAAUUCCUACGAGAUAUUCCUCUUUUCACUAGCGAGCCGUGGUGUGUUUUAUUUAUAAAAAUAAAAGUUGUGCGUCGUAAAAUCGAAUCGCCAAGGAGAUUUUAUUUUUAUUUCUAUUUUAAUGCUGCACUUUUUUUUUUUCUUCUAAAGUUAUGAUGUUUGAGCUACUCUAGCUUAGAAAUUGCCCAAAAAAAAAAAAUUCUCUUUUUUCAAUGCCGGAGGCUCUCUCCAAGUUUUUGUGUGGUUUGUUUGUAAUUGGAGUAGAGUCUUUUAGGGGUUAAGGAAUAUAUUUUUCCUGUACCAAGACAAUAUCAAAUUUUGGGUUUUUGGGGAGGAGAUUGUUGAGGUUUAUUUUUUUCCUCAAAUUUUUCUAGAAUAUCAUUAUUUUGUUUAAUAAUUUUCACUCCUUCCUACCGUAACAUAACCUUGACAUACUUGUCGAUUUAGGUAAUUGUAAGUUCUUUUUAAGAAGCUGAAACUGACAACCAAAACAAUCAUAAAGUAACCUUAAGAAACUUGUUUGCAGACAGUUUACUUGCUAUACCAAGUGGUCAUUGUUGUUUAAUCACUACAUUUGGUACCCUGCAUUAAAUCUGUUUUAAUUUUUAUGAUGGUUUGGAGCUCUUCAAGAAAAUGAAUUUUUAGUUGAUGCGCUUGAAUAAUGUGGAAAAAUAUCAUUUUUCUGCUCCUCCCUAUAAAACAGGUGGCUGGGGUUCCCGGAGUGACAGAAGCUCUAUUUCUGGCUAGACAAGCGGCACUUGCUCAAGAGAAAAAUAAGAAUGAGACCCAAAUGACGUACAGUUGUGGUCUUUGUGGUAAAGGGUACAGAAGCUCUAAGGCUCUUGCUCAGCAUCUCAACUCACGAAGCCACAUUAUGCGGGCUGCUCAAGGAACGAGUAAUGAAGAGAAGGAGAAGGUAAUAAUUAGGCCAAUUGCGCUUCGUGAUGUAAAUAAGCCUCCUCCGAAAAGAGAAGCAAACAAUGAAGAAAGUGAAGAUAGUGAUGAUGAGUGGGAAGAGGUUGGUCCAGAUGAAGUAUUGGUUAGUGAGGCCACAAAUUCUCUGACUAAUUUGAAUGUUGGGUCUCCCGCUGAUGAUGAAUUGGAGGAGGAUGACGAUGAUGGUGCCUUUGAGGAGUUCGAUCCAGCAUGUUGCUUUAUGUGUGAUCUUCCGCACGAUGCAAUUGAGAACUGCAUGGUUCACAUGCACAAGUGUCAUGGGUUCUUUAUUCCUGAUGUUGAGUAUUUGAAGGAUCCAAAAGGCCUGCUUACUUAUCUUGGUCUUAAGGUGAUUUUACAUAAAAUAAGGGAAUCCCUUACCUUAAUAAGAGACAAGAUAAAAGAUAAGAAAACUACACUACAUAUCAAAUACAUUGUGUUGGAACGAGUGUUUUUCCCCCCCUUUAGCUUGUACCUUACUUUAUUAAAGCAAUGGAUUCCCUUAUUAUAAAAUUACUCCCCACUUUUAUUCUAUGUUUUUGCUUGAUUUUAUUAGCUCGGUUAAUCAAUUUACCAUAAGCAGCUGGUGCUUUCACUUACAUGCUCUGUCUUUUCAAAAUUUUCAGGUUAAGAGGGAUUUCAUGUGUUUAUACUGCAAUGAUAGGAGCCAUCCUUUUAACAGCUUGGAAGCAGUUAGGAAGCAUAUGGAAGCAAAACGUCAUUGCAAAAUACAUUUCGGCGAUGGUGACGAGAGGAGGAGGCCGAGUUAGAAGAGUUCUAUGACUAUAGCAGCAGGUCAUUGUCUUCAAAGUUCAUCUUUCUUUUUUGUUUCUUAUUUCCUAAUUUGAUUUAUUUACUUUUCAACAAAAUAAUAAAAUUCAUUGUUCUGACAGUUACAUGGAUGAGGAUGGGAAACAGCUGAUCUCAUCCAGUGACAUGGCCAACACUGUAGAGCUUGGUGGUGGGUCUGAGCUUAUCAUAACUAGGAGAACAGAUAAAGGAACAUCGACUAAAACGUUCGGCUCCCGUGAAUAUCUGCGGUAUUAUCGCCAGAAACCCCGGCCGUCACCGGCAAAUAAUGUGGCCAUUACAGCUGCGCUGGCCUCACGGUGUGUUUUUAAUCUUUCUCAACUUGCCCUUCUAUUAAGAAGGGCAACCUGGGAAUCCCCUCUCCUUAACAUGGCAUCCUGGUAUUUUCAGGUACAAGAGCAUGGGAUUAGCAACCGUGCAAACAAGAUUACAAGAGAGCACAUGGUAAGGAUGAAGGUAAUCAAGGAGAUGAAUAGAACGGGAGUGGAGGCGAUGCGCACAAGGGUCGGCAUGAAGAAUAAUAUCAUCCGAAACCUCCCCAAGAAUGUCCCAUAUUAGUCCUAGACUUUGAUUUCUUGUUGAAUCAACAGUUUUAAGUAAACUUUUAAAUUUAAAAAAAAAAAAUUCUCAAAUGUGGUAUGGUUUUCAGUGUAAGCUCUAAUUAUUUUUUUUAUUAUGACUGUCUGGUCUACAGAUUUGUUAGUAAAAGAUUGACAUGCUCCAGUUGUUUCAUGAAAGAAUUUCAGUUUGUUUCUUCUGGCCAUCCUCCGUUGGUCCUUUCUCUUUACUUCUUAGAAUGAUUCAUUACGAUCGAGACUUUGUAGACCUCUAUUGUCUUGAGAAUGGUUAUGCUAAAUUUUCCUUUGGUUUGGUUUACCACGGUUCAUGUUGCACGUAACCGGUCAGGCGUUGUUGGAUCUUUACAUUACAUUAUACCUAAGUUUUGCCCAUUUUGAAAUGACAGUUUCCGCUCCCUGCCACUGUCCAUGAAUCUUCUUGGUUACACAAAUCUUCACUUAGUCUUCGUAGAACCUUCAUUUUUUCUCAUUCUUUCUUCUCAUCUCUAAGACUCUGACCAUCUUUCCUCAGCUAUUAUAUUUUUGCUGUAGAUACUGUAAAUUUGAAGUGUAAAUUUUAAUUUAUCCCAUAUUCUAUGUAGAAUCUUAGUUUUUAAUUUUUCUCUCAAAAGUAAGAAAACAUAAAAUUUACCUUCAUUUACUGUGUAGAAGACGAAAAAAUAAUUCAUCAACCUGCCCUCGUUUGUCAUCUGAUAAAUUUAAGAUUGUCACUAUAUUUAUGAAUUGAAUUGAAGUUUACCCAAUUUGAACUUUUGUUUGUUUUUUUAUGUUUUUAGUGUGAUGUGCGUCAUGCAACAGUACAUAAACCACCAGAGCUGCUAUAAGUCUUUGCUAAUUCUUGUAUCUUACAGAAUGUCAUCAUUUUCACCAUCAUCAAAAGAUUUUUAAAAGUUAAAAUAGAGCUCAAUUCAGCAUAGAAUCCAAAUUCAACAAAGAAGAUCCCAUUGUUGAAUGAUAAAACAGUCAGGAGGUUUAAUUUGGGGAUUAUCAAAAUGUAUUGCAAGUUCGUAUUUGAAGAAGAUUGGGAGUUGUCUUGAAAAAUAAGUUUGGGGACAGUUUAAAGACUCUUUAAUCUUUACCUCAUUUUUAAAAAUUUUUUAAAAGCCUGGUGGUUGCCUUGGCAACCCUCGGCGUGAACAUAGGUCCGCCCCUGUCUAAAAUCCUGCAUCAGUCAGUAGUAGUAGGCGGCCUUCAGUGUUAGUAGCCUGUGGUUGAUGUAAAAUAAACCUGGUUGAAGAAAGAGUGAUCUUUUGUUACAUUCUCGUACAGUCUUUUCUCAUGUGACGAUAAGAUAAAGAGAAAAUGGUAAGAAAUAACCUGAGAGUCAGAAAAUUAUAAAACUAAUUAUUUUAAUAGAAAGUUAUGUAUGCUGACUCUUAUGUUGUUAUGCAUCUCAUCACUUUUACAUUGUGCGCGGAAUGCGGAAUCAAGCGCACCAAAUAAUUACAGAAAUAUAAAAGAGACAAUUAUUUAAUGUGGUUCGGUAAUUAAACCUAUAUCCACAGAGGUAAGAAAGAAUAAUUAUUUAUUUAACAAUUAAUAAAGUACAAAUAUUUGAGUGAUUAAUCUAACUUUUCAGAAAUCCAAAUAUACCUAGUACUCUCACACUCUGCAGAAAAAAUAAAUUUCAUAGUCACGCUUCUCUCACUUCUCUAAAAAACUUAAAAACUUAUAAGCUUAACAAAUUUUAGGAUGAUUUACAAAUGAAGAAUACAUCUCUAUUUACAACCAAAAUGGUUGCACUGUUUCACCAUGAUCAAAUUAUCAAUUAAAUUCUUUAAAAUUGACAAACACAUUCAUGCGGUGCUAGCUUCCACCAAAUUGGCAAUUAUGUAUGUGACUUACCUUUUCUUUUUCAACCAAUUUAAAUAAACAACUCACCAAAACUUUUUGACUUUUCAACACGCUAUAUAGUAAUUUCUUAAUUGCUUAUUUCCCUUUCUUCUUUGACACUUCGUGUUUCUAGUUUGUUUUGCAACCACAAAAACGAAAUAAAUUGGAUACGUACAUCUUCUGCGUGUUGACUUUGAAUGAUUAAUAGCGAAAGACAAUCAAGACGUCUAUUAAUGUUAAUAAUUUCUCGAAUGACAUUAAUUUUCCACCAUAUGUCAUUCUCAAUGAAGCUUCUUGGUUAUUUAUUUCCUCUCUGCCCUUCACUGAAACUUCAUGUGCAUUAUUUCAAAAAACUUUAGCGGGCCAUACUGAUCAUCAGGUUGUGAAGAACUCAAGAACAAGUCAUUGGGUAGAAGAAAAAACGCAAUCAAAGUUUAAGUAAUGAAAUGUCAUUGUGACGUAUAUCUCAUCAAAUUAAUUGGUUGUUAAUUGUAUACCAUCUACAAGUAGGGGACUGAAAAUUUAUUGUCUUAAAUUUAUUCUCUCACUUCUCUCCAAAACUUAGAAACUUAUAAGUUUAAUAAAUUUUGGGAUGAUUUACAAAUGAAGAAUGCAUCUCUAUUUAUAACCAAAAUGAUUGCACUGCUGCACCAUAGUCAAAUUAUCAAUUAAAUCUGCAACUAAAUUCUUCAAAAUUGACAAACACAUGCAUGCGGUGCCAGCUUCCUCCAAAUUUUCAAUUAUGCUUACCUUUUUUUUUUAAUCAAUUUAAAUAAACAACUCACCAAAAAUCUUUGACUUUUCAACACUCUAUAUAGUAAAUUCUUAAUUGCUUAUUUCCCUUUCUUCUUUCACUUCAUGUUUCUAGUUUGUUUUGCAACCACAAAAACGAAAUAAAUUGGAUACGUACAUCUUCUGCGUGUUGACUUUGAAUGAUUCAUGGCGAAAGACGAUCAAGACGUCUAUUAAUGUUAAUAAUUUCUCGAAUGACAUUAAUUUUCCACUAUAUAUCAUUCUUAAUGAAGCUUCUUGGUUAUUUAUUUUCUCUCUGACCUUCACUUAAACUUCAUGUGCAUUAUUUCAAACAACUUUAGGGGGCCAUACUGAUCAUCAGGUUGUGAAGAACUCAAGAACAAGUCAUUGGGUAGAAGAAAAAACGCAAUCAAAGUUUAAGUAAUGAAAUGUCAUUGUGACGUCUAAUUCAUGAAACUAAUUGGUUGUUAGAUUUAUAUUAUCUACAUGUAGGGACUGAAAAUUAAUUGUUUUAAAUUUCGAAUGUUGGAUUAUAGAGAAUAUAAAACUAAAUACCUAAUUAUUUUGGUAUAAUAUGUGCACAUUUCUUUUGACAAUUUGGCAUUUUGUAUUAUAACGAUCAAAUAGUUAAAUUAAAUUAUAUUAAAGCAAUUUUAAUGAUCAAAGAUGAUCAACAGACCUAACAAAAGAAUGACUUAAUUGAUUAAUUAUCAAAACUAUCUCUUUAUUAUAAUUAAAAAAAGAAAAAAACUAUAUAAUUUUUUUAUUACUGACUUAACUAAGAAAAAAUAUUUAACUAAUUACCCAUACCAUAAUUAUAUAAAUUUAAACUCUAUUUGUAUAUCAUAAUAGAUUUCACAAUAAACUUGAUUUAAGAUAACUCUCAGUAGGUCUUUUAUUAUAAGAGAAAUUUUAGAGUACAUCUGUUGUACCAUGUCACCCAUACAACAAGUAAAUAAUGUCAUGACAUAUGUGUAUUUAUUUUGUAAACUAUUAUGCAAGUGGUGGUUGUAUUAAAUUCAAUUACAAAUGUUAUGCAUGCAUUAAUUAAUUGUAAUACAACAGAUGUAUUCUAAAAUUUCUCUUAUUAUAAAUAUCAAUAAACUUAUGACUGAAGUAAUCACACGUUCAAGUCUUAAAUAUGCAUGUUGACUCUGGUAAACUGAGAAGUUGACUUGAUGUAUACAGGUAUCAUUAAAAUUAAGAAACCUCUCAAAGAGGUUUUAAAUGUCCUUUCAGCCUCCAUUGAACCAUCGUAUAUAUCUAACUUAUUCUCAUCUCUGGCCAACUUUCCUUACUAAUUAAUAAACCGACUGUACAGUAUUUCACAAAACUUUUAGCUGGAGAUUACUGAGCUUAGAGUUGUGAAGAGGAAGAACUCGAUCUACAAGUCUUUGGGUAGACGCAGAAGCAAAAAGGAUAUCAAAGUUAGUAUUAUCUCAAAUACAGUUUUCUUUUUCUUUUCUUUUUUAGCUAAACUUCUCUUUUAGCUUUCAUAAAACUGCUGGACCUGACCUCAGUUGCCACUAAUCUUUGCUUUUGAAUGUUCUUGUAUCUUACAGAAUGUCAGGAAACGAGAUAUCAUACGGGCAUCGAAUGUGUAAGUCAUUAAAGAUGCGGCCCCCACACGGCCAAUCUCCCCCCCCCCCCCCCCCCCCCCCCCAAACAAAGAAAAAAAACAACAAAAAAAAUCACGAAAAAAAAAAAACCAACCCCGCGACACCCCCCAACGAUUGUAACGAAGUAGAUUUUAGUUUCAUGCGUAUUUGAGGUUGUGCUCAGGCAGACACAGGGCUGUGAUUAGUGGUAUUUAUUCACACAUGAUAGCAAAAGCACAUAUUUAUCAACACAGGAUCGACAAUUCAACACACAAUAUAUUGUUGAAUGGUGUAAUAAUCGAAUUUUGAUGUUGUACUGAUCUAAGUUGUGCUAAGCAUUUAAAGUUAUUACACCGUGUGUACGAUAAUAUGCUAAGCUUAACAUUAAAUGCUGUGCUAAGCAAUUAAAUUUAUUCAAUGGCAGUUCCUAUAUUAUUUCACUAAUCUGAAACGCUUUUAUUAAUUUGCAGUCACAGUUGUAAUCACAGCAACCAUGUCGGUAAUGCUUGGACUUAUGGUAAUUUCAGUAGUAUUUUCUAUCAUCGGAUGUUUUUUGGAAAUGCUAAAUCCUACGGAAACAGAAACCCGAAAUGCUGCGUCUGCUAAUAAGCCUGAAGAGGACGUGGUUGAAGUAAUAUGGGAAGCUGGUCAAACGAUGGAGAGAUUCCUUCAAGAAAUCGGAAGGGAGAAGCCGGUCAGGUUUACUUCUCUCCAGCUCAAUAAUUUUACAAGCAAUUAUUCAACUCGGUUAGGAUUUGGAGGUUUUGGAGAAGUCUAUAAAGGACAAUUCCCUAAUGGCGUGAAAAUUGCAGUGAAGGUCCUUAAUAGGAACCUAGGCAGAAUUGCUGAAGAGCAAUUCAUGGCUGAAGUGGGAACUAUUGGAAGAACUUAUCAUAUAAAUUUGGUUAGGCUUUAUGGUUUUUGCCACGACCAACACAUGACUGCACUUGUUUAUGAGUACAUGGAAAAUGGUUCACUUGAUGGGUAUCUGUUUGGCAAGAAACAAGCAAUAGAAUGGGAGAAGUUGCACGAAAUCGCUAUAGGGACAGCCAAGGGUUUAGUUUACUUGCACGAAGAAUGCCAACAGAGAAUCAUUCAUUACGACAUAAAGCCCGAAAAUGUUCUCUUAGAUGCAAACUUCUCUCCUAAGGUAGCAGAUUUCGGGCUUGCAAAGCUUUGUGAUAGGAACAAGACUCAUGUUACAAUUAGUGGAUAUAAGGGCACCCCUGGCUACUCUGCACCAGAAUUCUUAUCAGGGAAUUACCCAAUUACACAUAAAUGUGAUGUCUAUAGCUUUGGAAUGGUGUUAUUUGAGAUUGUAGGAAGGAGAAGAAACGCAAUUGUUGGAUCCUCGGAGAGCCUUGAUUGGUUUCCAAAACAUGUGUGGGAAGAAUAUGAGAAAUGUGAAUUGGAUGCAACGAUACUGGCAUGUGGGAUUGAAGAGAAAGACAAAGAGAAAGCAAAAAGAUUGUGUAUGGCAGCUUUGUGGUGUGUGCAGGACUCUCCGGAAGAUAGGCCUCCAAUGAGUGCCGCGGUCAAGAUGCUGGAGGGAGUAGUGGAAGUUUUACCGCCACCGAAACCAUUUCGCUACUUGGACUUAAUCAAGAUGACGGGGUUGAAGUCACUUGAAUCUAGUGAUGGUUCAAAUUCCUCGAAUCGGUCUCGCUGGUACAAGGAGACCACUCCAAUAAUGGCCAAGCAUGAAAUACAAAUAGCUACUUGCUGAUAAUAACUAAGCUUGUGCCUUGUGCUCUCCAUUCCUUGAAUUUUCCAAUACUUGUAUUUUUUUUUUAUUCAGUUUGUAAGCUAGUGCCUUGUGUUCUUCUUGUAUCCUUAGUUUUGUCUGUCAUUGUAAGUUGUAACUAAGCAGUAUCAGAACCAUAAUUAGCAGUGUCUGAUUUUGAUUCUAAUGUUAAUUAAUUUCCCGAUUUCUCCAAUAUCCUUGUCCUCAGAAUGCCAAUAAUCCUUCCUUCCUCAAACUUGGAACACGGGUCACCAUCAUAAACUGGCGGGCGCUCUUGGUAACCUCUUACACUUGUUUGAGAAAAGUAGAGCCUAAUUUCGCAGCUGAUUUAAUUUUACAUAAUUUGCAGUUACAAUUCUGGUACAGGUCAUCUUAGCAAUAAUAGGCGCUGUAGCUUACUAUUUGGCAAAACUAGUAAGUUCAAAAGAUGUCAAAAGGACGAGAACCUACAGUUCCCGAAGCAUCCUUGAAAACCGUCCAAGAUUUGAAGGAUGGUGAGCAGACAAUGGAGAAAUUCCUGCGAGAUAUUGCAAGGGAGAAAUUCCUGCGAGAUAUUCCUCAUUUCACUAGCGAGCCGUCGCGUGUUUUAUUUAUAAAAAUAAAAGUUGUGCGUCGUAAAAUCGAAUCGCCAAAGAGAUGAAAGAACACAACAUGCGGGGCUGAACUGCAAUGCAUGUAACAGAGAAUUCAAUGACUACGCCCAGCAGAAGCUUCACUACAAGUCCGAUUGGCACCGCUACAAUCUCAAACGCAAGGUCUCUCUCUCUCUUUAACUUUUAAUUUUCAGUUUCCUUCUCGUUAAAAUUUUAUGAGAUUAAGUGCUUCUGCUUGGCGGCGGUACUUUGUUGAAGAAGUAUGUAUCUUACAAGAAUUGCUUGUCCAAAAAGUGCUUCUGUAAAUUGAAUGUUUUUUAGCCAAAACAGGCAAAUAAAAAUUUGUGUUCGGCCAUCUGGUAGAGCAUUAGGCCCAUAAUUGCAUACAUAGAUUCGUAUAGAAGAUAAUAAAAUAUAUGAAAGGCAAUUACAUUAGCAAUAUGCGAAUGCUAGAACUUUUUAUUUUUAUUUUUAUUUCUAUUUAAUGCCGCUCUGUUUUUAAAAGUUAUGAUGCCUGAGCUACUCUAGCUUAGAAAUUGCCAAAAAAAUCUCUUUUUUCAAUGCCAGAGGCUCUCUCCAAGUUCUUGUGUGGUUUGCUUGUAGGAGUAGAGGCUUUUGGGGAUUAAGAAAACAUAUUUUUCCUGUACUAGGACAAUAUCAAAUUUUGGGCUUUUGGGAGAGAAGAUUGUUGAGAUUUGGUUUUUUUGCUCGAAUUUUCUAGAAUAUUAUUAUUUUGUUUAAUAAUUUUAACUCUUUCCUGCCGUAACAUAACCCUAACAAACUUGUUGAUUUAGGUUAUUGUAAGUUCUUACUAAGAAGCUGAAAGUAUGUUUUAACUUUUAUGAUGGUUUGGAGCUCUUCAAGAAAAUGAAUUUUUAGUUGAUGGGAUUGAAUAAUAUGGAAAAAAAAAUCCUUUUUCUGCUCCUCCCUGUAAAACAGGUGGCUGGGGUUCCCGGAGUGACAGAAGCUCUAUUUCUGGCUAGACAAGCCGCACUUGCUCAAGAGAAAAAUAAGAAUGCGACCCCAAUGACCGACAGUUGUGGUCUUUGUGGAAAAGGGUAUAGAAGCUCUAAGGCUCUUGCUCAGCAUCUCAACUCACGAAGCCACAUUGUGCGGGCUGCUCAAGGAACGAGUAAUGAAGAGAAGGAGAAGGUAAUAAUUAGGUCAAUUCCGCUUCGUGAUGUAAAGAAGCCUCCUCCGAAAAGAGAAGCAAACAAUGAAGAAAGUGAAGAUAGUGAUGAUAAGUGGGAAGAGGUUGGUCCAGAUGAAGUAUUGGUUAGUGAGGCCACAAAUUCUGUGACUAAUUUGAAUGUUGGGUCUCCCGCUGACGAUGACGUGGAGGAGGAUGACGAUGACGUGGAGGAGGAUGACGAUGAUGGUGCCUUUGAGGAGUUCGAUCCAGCAUGUUGCUUCAUGUGUGAUCUUCCGCGGUCCGCACGAUACAAUUGAGAACUGGAUGGUUCACAUGCACAAGUGUCAUGGGUUCUUUAUUCCUGAUGUUGAGUAUUUGAAGGAUCCAAAAGGCCUGCUUACUUAUCUUGGUCUUAAGGUUGAUUUUACAUAAAAUAAGGAAAUCUCUUACCUUAAUAAGAGACAAGCUAAAAGAUAAGAAAACUACACUUCAGAAUAAAAUACACUGUGUUGGAAUGAGUGUUCCCCCUUUAGCUUGUCCCUUACUUUAUUAAAGUAAUGGAUUCCCUUAAUAUAAAAUUACUCCCCACUUUUAUUCUAUGUUUUUGCUUGAUUUUAUUAGCUCGGUUAAUCAAUUUACCAUAAGCAGCUGUUGGUUUCACUUACAUGCUCUGUCUUUUCAAAAUUUUCAAGUUAAGAGGGAUUUCAUGUGUUUAUACUGCAAUGAUAGGUGCCAUCCUUUUAACAGCUUGGAAGCAGUUAGGAAGCAUAUUGUCACGGGAUGAGUAUUUUGCGCAGCUAACCCGUGCGGCACUUAGACAACUUUGCCGAAUGUUGCUAAGUAAGCCUAGAGCUUCUCGAACUAGAGAAGAGAGCAAUGGAGCCGAAUAAGAAAACUUGUAUUGCACAAAGAGAGAUUAUAAUGCUUGAGUUGCUUACAAAGCUUGUUGUUGUGUUUUGUUCGAUACAAAUGCCUAAUGACAUCCCAUAUUUAUAGGGGAGGCUUGCCAAGCUCUAGAGAUUCUAGAGAAUUCUACAAUUUCCUAGCUAUUUACAUGUGUUGGAAUUGUAUAGAGAAUUCUAGAGUAUUUACAAGCUCAAAUGUGCUAGAGUUGCCUAGAAGUUUCCGGAAUUGGGCCAAGCUAGCACUCUUGGCCUUGUGUUGGCUCUCCAGCCCGAAAUUGUGGGCAAUUGGGCUGGCGAAUUGGGCGGUCCGCAACAUCCUCCCCCACCUAAGCUCGCGGCGUCCUCGUCGCGCUCUCGUGCUUGAAGUGUUGGAUGUGCUCAGCGAAUUGCCACAAAUCAUCUUCACGUUCCCAAGUGGCUUCGCUCUCGGGGAGGUUUUUCCACUUCACCAAGUACUCGCUAUGUGCUGGCACGCCCCUCCUCGAAACCACGCGGUCCGCAAUGAUGUAGUCUACAUCUUUGUCGAACGCGGUGACAACGGCGGUUGGCGCGCGCCUCGAUUCUCCGCGACUUGGGUCUCCCAUGUCUUCGUGAUAUGGCUUGAGAAGGCUCACAUGGAAGACCGGAUGGAUCUUGAGUCUUGGCGGAAGUUGGAGUUGAUACGAGACGUUGCCCACACGUCGAACAACUCGGAAGGGUCCCUCGUAGCGCCUCACUAACCCCUUGUGGACUUUCCGCAAUGUUUUGAAUUGUUGGGGUAGGAGUUUGAUCAUGACUUGAUCACCUUCCUUGUACUCAACAUGCCGUCUCCUUGUAUCCGCCCAUUUCUUCAUUUUCCUCGCGGCUUUGUCGAGGUAGGCUCGCGUGAUGUCCGCUUCCUCAUGCCAUUCGCGGGCGAGCUUGUGUGUCGCGGGGCUUUUCCCUCCGUAAGUUGAGGCUAUGGCAUUGGGGGUCAUGGGCUGGAAUCCCAUGAUGAUCUCGAAUGGACUCUUGCCCAUAGCCUCACUUCGCUGCAAGUUAUAAGAAAAUUGGGCGAUGUCGAGUAGCUUCGCCCAAUCCCGCUGAUGAGCGCUCACAUAAUGCCUCAAGUACAUCUCGAGGAGGCCAUUAAUGCGCUCGGUCUGCCCAUCCGUUUGGGGGUGGAAGCUUGUCGAGAACUUGAGAUCGGUCCCCAACAUCUUGAAGAGCUCCGUCCAAAAACGCCCAGUGAACCGAGGAUCUCGGUCACUCACAAUGCUCUUUGGAACUCCCCAAAGCUUCACAAUGUGCUUGACGAAUAGGCGGGCUGCCUCGUCCGCUUUGCAGUCGACGGGUGCGGCAAUGAAUGUGGCAUACUUGCUGUAUCGGUCUACAACGACCAUGAUGCUUCCACAACCCUCGGACUUGGGCAGCGAUGUGAUGAAGUCCAUGGAGACACUUUCCCAUGGCCUUGUUGCUAGCGGCAGCGGCUCCAAUAAUCCCGCUGGGAGUUGAUGAUCCACCUUGUCUUGUUGGCACACAAGACAAGUUCGCACAUAUGCUUCGAUGUCGUCCCUCAUGUGCGGCCAAAAAUAUGAGGCUUGGACUAGUGCGGUGGUGCGCUCAAUUCCUGGGUGACCAGCCCACUUGGAGUCGUGGCACUCCUUGAUUACUUCCUUCCGCAAGUUUCCCCACCUUGGCACGAACAGCCGAUCUCCCUUGGUGAGGAGGAUGCCUUCCUCUUGCCAAAAUCGCCUUGUCUUUCCCUCGAGUACCUUCUCCAGCAAGUCCUUUGCUAGCGGAUCUUGUUGGAGGCCUUCCUUGAUGCGUGAGACAAGGUCAGACUUCGGUUGGCUCAUGCUAAGUGUCACCAAUUCGGCCUUGCGGCUUAGAGCGUCCGCAACGACAUUGGCUUUACCAGGUUUGUACUCGAGCCGAUAGUCGAAUUCCGCAAGGAAAUCUUGCCAUCGUGCUUGCUUCGGACUCAACUUCUUUUGCGUUUGAAAGUAGCUCGUCGCUACGUUGUCCGUCAUGAUCGUGAAGUGAGAGCCUAGCAAGUAGUGUCGCCACACUCUUAGACAAUGGAUGAUGGCUGUCAUCUCCUUCUCUUGCACCGUGUAGCGGCGUUCCGUAUCAUUUAGCUUUCGACUUUCGAACGCUAUGGGGUGGCCUUCUUGCAUGAGGACUCCUCCUAUGGCGAAAUCCGAGGCAUCUGUUUGAACUUCGAAGGGCUUUGUGUGAUCCGGAAGGGCAAGGAUGGGUUCCUCCGAAAUUGCUCUUUUCAACUCAUCGAAUGCGCGUUGGCACUUUUCGGACCAAUGCCACGUUCUGUUUUUCUUGAGCAUAUCUGUUAAGGGUACUGCCUUGGCCGAAUAGCCCUUGAUGAAGCGACGGUAGUAAUUCACCAUCCCAAGGAAUGAGCGAAGCUCGGGUACUUUCGAGGGAGGCUCCCAAUCGAGGAUGGCCUUUACUUUGAUGUUCUCCAUCAUAAUCUUCCCGCCCGCAAUCUUGUGGCCAAGGAACUCCACCUCUUGUUGGGCAAACGAGCACUUCUCCAAUUUGAGGAAGAGCUCGUUGUCUCAAAGUACUUGGAGGACUUGUCGCAAAUGUUGGGCAUGCUCCUCGAGUGUGGUGCUAUACACCACGAUGUCAUCCAAGUACACGACCACGAAGCGGUCGAGGAAUGGUUGGAGUACCUUGUUCAUGAGUGUGCAAAAUGUGGCGGGUGCGUUGGUAAGGCCAAAAGGCAUCACAAGGAAUUCGAAAGAGCCGUACCUUGUUGUGCACGCCGUCUUCGGUUCAUCUCCUUUGGCGAUGCGCACUUGAUAGUACCCGGAGCGUAAGUCAAGUUUGGUGAAGUACCGCGCUUUGCCAAGCUGGUCGAACAAGUCCGCAAUCAAUGGAAUCAGAUACUUGUUCUUGAUGGUGAUCUUGUUGAGCGCUCUAUAGUCGAUGCACAUCCGCAGCGAUCCAUCAUUUUUCUUUUGGAAGAGCACGGGUGCACCGAAUGGGGCCUUUGAGGGGCGGAUGUAGCCUGCGUCCAGCAAGUCUUUGAGUUGUCUCUGCAACUCCUCUAAUUCGGGUGGCGCCAUGCGGUAGGGCGCCAAGGCUGGUGGCUUCGCGCCUUGUUCCAGCUCGAUCGCAUGAUCUACCUCUCACCGAGGUGGGAGCUUCUUUGGAAGUUCCGGAGGCAUCACAUCCUUGUAUUCAUUGAGGACGGCUUGAAUUCGCAGAGGGACUUGGCUUGGCGACGUUCCGCUAUUUCGUUCCUCGUUUAGUUCCCGUAUAGAGACCAAGAAGCUUGGGUCCUUCUUGAAAGCCCUUUUGAAUUGCAUGGCGGAGAGUGUCUUCUCCUCGGACUUGCCUCGCUCCGUGGGUACCAUGCAUGCUUUGCUCCCGUCGAGGAUGCUUAGGGAGUUUGUAGCGGGCAGCGGGAAGGCAUGGACUUGGUCGAAGAAUUCCAUGCCGAGGACCAUCUUGAAGUCGUCCAUGGGAACGAUGGAGAAAUCAAGCUUUCCGCUCCACGUACCGAGUGUGAUGUGCACGCCUUGUGCGAUUCCCGCAAUUGGCUUGGCGGGUGAGUUUACCGCUUUCAUCGUGCCUCCUUCCUUGGUGGCCUUGAGGCCUAAGCGCUUGGCCUCGUCUACGGACACGAAAUUGUGCGUUGCUCCCGUGUCUAGUAGCACGCGGACGGACUGGCCGUUUAUCUUCGCGCUUACAUACAUGAGCCCUUUCUUGACGAGUGCGGGCUGUUGGCGGUUGAGUGCGCCAAGACGUUGGAGAGAACCCAUACCGAGUUGGGGUUCUUUCGUGGACAUUGUGGGGUUGCUCUUAAGUUGGGCAGCAAGAGCGUUGAGCGACUUCUUCUCCGGACAGUCGCGUACCCAAUGAGGACCAUUGCAUAUGAAGCAUGGGCUUCGCGGCUUUGGUACCUCCUUCUUGCCCUCCGAUUUUCCUUGCCCGCUCUUGUUGCUAGGCGGCUUUUUCUGCCCCCAAUCCUUGCGGUUGUUGCCCUUGUCCUUGCGACUCUCUCCCCCACCUUUGCCUUGGUUGGCCUUUUUGUCCUUGGAUUGGGUAGAGUAUUCGGUGAGCGAUUCCGCAACGGCAAUGGCGUCGUCAAGUGUUUGAACACCACACCUAUCCAGCUCGGUCUUGGCCCAAUCCUUGAGGCCAUCUUGGAAGUAGAAGAGUGAAUCCUUGUCGGACAUGUCGCUUAUCUCCAACAUAAGGGUAGUGAACUCGUUGAUAUAGUCCCGAAUGCUACCCGAUUGCUUGAGGCGAUGUAAGCGCGCUCGCGCUUCCUUCUCCGCAUUGCUUGGGGCGAACUGCUUUCGGAGUUCUUGCUUGAAGUCGGCCCAAGUGUCGAUGGUGCAAAUGCCCUUGCCCAUCUCGCCAUGCUUGCGACGCCACCAUAGUUGUGCAGCGCCUCGAAGAUAGGUGGGUGCAGUGCCCACUUUUGAUGCCUCGUCUCGUACACCCAUGGCAUCGAAGUAUUGAUCAAGACCAAAGAGGAAAUUGUCCACGACUGUGGCAUUGCGUGUGCCAUCGUAAGUGUCAGGCUUUGGCACGUCGAUGCGGCGCGCAUCACUCGAGUUUGCAGAAGCUGGACUUGCGGAGAGUGUGCGCUUGUGCCAUGCCCAAUCCGAGCGGACUUCAUCCACUUCCGCACGGACAGCGCGUAGUUCGUCCUGAACAAAACUACGAAGUUUAAGCAACUCAUCAUGGAAAGAACGAAACUCACCUCGGAGAGUGUUCGCUUGCUCUUGGAUGAGAGCCUUUGUGGCCACCGUGAACUCGGCGUAUUCUCCCUCGAGACCGUCCACUCGUUCCUCCAAUCCCUCGAGGCUAUCUUGAGCGGCGGACAAUGCGAUUUCGAGAGUAGUCACACGAGGCUCCAACGCAUCCACGGAUGGGGCCUUGGACUUGCCACGAGUCUUGCCUUGGGCGCGUUCUCCCUCUCGGCCGCGGCUUAGUUCCGGUGGAACAUCCACACCAACAACACCCUCUUGUACUACGUUCGAAGGGUUGGCCAUUGCUUCGUGAGCUAACUUGCGUGCGUGCAAAACUUAGCUCUGAUACCACUUGUCACGGGAUGAGUAUUUUGCGCAGCUAACCCGUGCGGCACUUAGACAACUUUGCCGAAUGUUGCUAAGUAAGCCUAGAGCUUCUCGAACUAGAGAAGAGAGCAAUGGAGCCGAAUAAGAAAACUUGUAUUGCACAAAGAGAGAUUACAAUGCUUGAGUUGCUUACAAAGCUUGUUGUUGUGUUUUGUUCGAUACAAAUGCCUAAUGACAUCCCAUAUUUAUAGGGGAGGCUUGCCAAGCUCUAGAGAUUCUAGAGAAUUCUACAAUUUCCUAGCUAUUUACAUGUGCUGGAAUUGUAUAGAGAAUUCUAGAGUAUUUACAAGCUCAAAUGUGCUAGAGUUGCCUAGAAGUUUCCGGAAUUGGGUCAAGCUAGCACUCUUGGCCUUGUGUUGGCUCUCUAGCCCGAAAUUGUGGGCAAUUGGGCUGGCAAAUUGGGCGGUUCGCAACAAUAUGGAAGCAAAACGUCAUUGCAAAAUACAUUUCGGCGAUGGUGAUGACCACGAGGAGGCCGAGUUAGAAGAGUUCUAUGACUAUAGCAGCAGGUCAUUGUCUUUAAAGUUCAUCUUUCUUUUUUGUUUCUUCUUUCCUAAUUUGAUUUAUUUACUUUUCAACAAAAUAAUAAAAUUCUUUGUUCUGACAGUUACAUGGAUGAGGAUGGGAAACAGCUGAUCUCAUCCAGUGACAUGGCCAACGCUGUAGAGCUUGGGGGUGAGUCUGAGAUUAUCAUAACUAGGAGAACAGAUAAAGGAAGAUCGACUAAAAUCUUCGGCUCCCGUGAGUAUCUGCGGUAUUAUCGCCAGAAACCCCGUCCGUCACCGGCAAAUAAUGUGGCCAUUACAGCUGCGCUGGCCUCACGGUGUGUUUUUAAUCUUUCUCAACUCGCCCUUCUAUUAAGAAGGGCAACCUGGGAAUCCCCUCUCCUUAACAUGGCAUCCUGUAUUUUUCAGGUACAAGAGCAUGGGAUUAGCAACCGUGCAAACAAGAGAGCACAUGGUGAGGAUGAAGAUAAUCAAGGAGAUGAAUAGAACGGGAGUGCAGGCAAUGCGCACAAGGGUCGGCAUGAAGAAUAAUAUCAUCCGAAACCUCCCCGGAAUGUCCCAUAUUAGUCCUAGACUUUGAUUUCUUGUUGAAUCAUCAGUUUUAAGUAAACUUUUAAUUUUUUUUUUUUUUAAAAAAAAAAAAUCUCAGAUAUGGUAUGGUUUUUAGUGUAAGCUCUUAUUUUUCUUUUUAUUAUGACUGUCUGGUCUACAGAUUUGUUAGUAAAACAUUGACAUGCUCCAGUUGUUUCAUGAAAGAAUUUUCAGUUUGUUUGUUUUGGUCAUCCUCCACUGGUCCUUUCUCUUCACUUGUUAGAAUGAUUCAUUACGAUCAAGACUUUCGCAGACCCCUCUAUUGUCUUAAUUGCUU
rnacentral:lncRNA from 1 species